rnacentral:rRNA from 1 species
GACGAACGCUGGCGGCGUGCUUAACACAUGCAAGUCGAACGGUAAGGCCCUUCGGGGUACACGAGUGGCGAACGGGUGAGUAACACGUGGGUGAUCUGCCCUGCACUUCGGGAUAAGCCUGGGAAACUGGGUCUAAUACCGGAUAGGACCACUGCCUGCAUGGGUGGUGGUGGAAAGCUUUUGUGGUGUGGGAUGGGCCCGCGGCCUAUCAGGUUGUUGGUUGGGGGAUGGCCUACCAAGGCGACGACGGGUAGCCGGCCUGAGAGGGGGACCGGCCACACUGGGACUGAGAUACGGCCCAGACUCCUACGGGAGGCAGCAGUGGGGAAUAUUGCACAAUGGGCGCAAGCCUGAUGCAGCGACGCCGCGUGAGGGAUGACGGCCUUCGGGUUGUAAACCUCUUUCAGCACCGACGAAGCGCAAGUGACGGUAGGUGCAGAAGAAGGACCGGCCAACUACGUGCCAGCCGCCGCGGUAA